UACGUAGGCAGCGAGCGUUGUUCGGAAUUACUGGGCGUAAAGAGUGUGUAGGCGGUGCUCUAAGUUCGGUGUGAAAUCUCCUGCUAACUGGGAGGGUGCGCCGGAAACUGGAGUGCUCGAGCGUGGGAGAGGGAAAGGCGGAAGUUCCUGGUGUAGCGGUGAAAUGCGUAGAUAUCAGGAGGAACACCUGUGGUGUAGACGGCUUUCUGGACCAUAGCUGACGCUGAGACACGAAAGCGUGGGUAGCAAACAGG
rnacentral:rRNA from 1 species